GUGGCUUAGUGUUUAGAGCGUCCGCCCCAGAUGUGGGAGGUCGCUGGUUCGAACACCGGCUGAGUCA